rnacentral:rRNA from 1 species
CCUACGGGAGGCAGCAGUGGGGAAUCUUGCGCAAUGGGCGAAAGCCUGACGCAGCGACGCCGCGUGGGGGACGAAGGCCCUCGGGUUGUAAACCCCUUUCGGCAGGGACGAAGCGAUCGUGACGGUACCUGCAGAAGAAGCCUCGGCUAACUACGUGCCAGCAGCCGCGGUAAU